rnacentral:lncRNA from 1 species
AGCUCAUGUCCACUGCCUCAAAAAAAUGUUUUUUUAUUGCAUGACUAGUACAUAAACGAGAUGGAUAGAGCUAAUGCAAUGGAAUAGCAGAACUAGCUGAAAGACAAGUCUGAAGCGCUCCCAUCAAUUUGACAAUAGUCCAACAUGUAUUAAACAAUUAAACAUAGGAUUGGUCGGCACUGGGAACUCAUCCAUGUCAGAUACAUAGAGCUUUGGCCAUAU